CCCCGAUUAAAAACCCUCAAACCCCAUGGCCGGCGGUGGGAAACACCCCAAAUGCAUCGCCAGUGAGGCACCGGGAGUCCUCAACCACCGGCGGCCGGCCUGAGACAGCCUUCCCGGCCGCCGGUUUGCCGGCGAUGGGCGAUUUUUUCUCGAUGAGAGAACGUUGGGAGAACUAGCGGUGCAGGCCGGCGCUUUUGUCCCUUAAAUCCAGGCCGGCGGCACCAGAAAAUCUCAAUGAAACCCAGUUCCGCCGCCUGAGAGUAAUACCUCGGAGUCCUAACGGAGGUCCAG
rnacentral:lncRNA from 1 species